AACGAACGCUGGCGGCAUGCCUAACACAUGCAAGUCGAACGAGACCUUCGGGUCUAGUGGCGCACGGGUGCGUAACACGUGGGAAUUUGCCUCGGGGUAUGGAAUAACUCAGGGAAACUUGAGCUAAUACCAUAUAAUGUCUUCGGACCAAAGAUUUAUCGCCCUGAGAUAAGCCCGCGUAGGAUUAGCUAGUUGGUGAGGUAAAGGCUCACCAAGGCGACGAUCCUUAGCUGGUCUGAGAGGAUGAUCAGCCACACUGGGACUGAGACACGGCCCAGACUCCUACGGGAGGCAGCAGUGGGAAUCUUAGACAAUGGGGGAAACCCUGAUCUAGCCAUGCCGCGUGAUCGAUGAAGGCCUUAGGGUUGUAAAGAUCUUUCAGUGGGGAAGAUAAUCGACGGUACCCACAGAAGAAGCCCCCGGUCUAAACUCCGUGCCAGCCAGUCCGCGGUAAUGUGACUACUG
rnacentral:rRNA from 1 species